GACGAACGCUGGCGGCGUGCUUAACACAUGCCAGUCGAACGGAAAGGCCCUGCUUUUGUGGGGUGCUCGAGUGGCGAACGGGUGAGUAACACGUGAGUAACCUGCCCUUGACUUUGGGAUAACUUCAGGAAACUGGGGCUAAUACCGGAUAGGAGCUCCUGCUGCAUGGUGGGGGUUGGAAAGUUUCGGCGGUUGGGGAUGGACUCGCGGCUUAUCAGCUUGUUGGUGGGGUAGUGGCUUACCAAGGCUUUGACGGGUAGCCGGCCUGAGAGGGUGACCGGCCACAUUGGGACUGAGAUACGGCCCAGACUCCUACGGGAGGCAGCAGUGGGGAAUAUUGCACAAUGGGCGGAAGCCUGAUGCAGCAACGCCGCGUGCGGGAUGACGGCCUUCGGGUUGUAAACCGCUUUCGCCUGUGACGAAGCGUGAGGGACGGUAAUGGGUAAAGAAGCACCGGCUAACUACGUG
rnacentral:rRNA from 1 species